AUUGAACGCUGGCGGCAGGCCUAACACAUGCAAGUCGAACGAGCGGCGGACGGGUGAGUAAUGUAUGGGAAACUGCCUGAUGGAGGGGGAUCACUACUGGAAACGGUAGCUAAUACCGCAUACCAUCAGAUGUGCCCAGAUGGGAUUAGCUUGUUGGUGGGGUAACGGCUCACCAAGGCGACGAUCCCUAGCUGGUCUGAGAGGAUGACCAGCCACACUGGGACUGAGACACGGCCCAGACUCCUACGGGAGGCAGCAGUGGGGAAUAUUGCGCAAUGGGGGCAAGCCUGAUGCAGCCAUGCCGCGUGUAUGAAGAAGGCCUUCGGGUUGUAAAGUACUUUCGGCGGGGAGGCGUUACCCGCAGAAGAAGCACCGGCUAACUCCGUGCCAGCAGCCGCGGUAAUUC
rnacentral:rRNA from 1 species